GCGUGAGUGAAGAAGGCCUUCGGGUUGUAAAGCUCUUUCGACGGGGACGAUGAUGACGGUACCCGUAUAAGAAGCCCCGGCUAACUUCGUGCCAGCAGCCGCGGUAAUACGAAGGGGGCUAGCGUUGUUCGGAAUUACUGGGCGUAAAGCGCGCGUAGGCGGUGAUCCAUGUCAGAGGUGAAAUCCCGGAGCUCAACUCCGGAACUGCCUUUGAAACGGGAUCGCUAGAAUCCGAGAGAGGAUGGCGGAAUUCCUAGUGUAGAGGUGAAAUUCGU
rnacentral:rRNA from 1 species